rnacentral:rRNA from 1 species
GGAGUGAACGCUGGCGGUAGGCCUAACACAUGCAAGUCGAACGGCAGCACGGUAAGAGCUUGCUCUUAUGGGUGGCGAGUGGCGGACGGGUGAGGAAUACAUCGGAAUCUACCUUUUGGGUGGGGGAUAACGUAGGGAAACUUACGCUAAUACCGCAUACGCCCUUCGGGGGAAAGCCGGGGACCAGCAAUGGCCUGGCGCUGAUAGAUGAGCCGAUGUCGGAUUAGCUAGUUGGUGAGGUAAUGGCUCACCAAAGGCGACGAUCCGUAGCUGGUCUGAGAGGAUGAUCAGCCACA